GAUGAACGCUGGCGGCGUGCUUAACACAUGCAAGUCGAACGAUGAAGCCCAGCUUGCUGGGUGGAUUAGUGGCGAACGGGUGAGUAACACGUGAGUAACCUGCCCUUAACUCUGGGAUAAGCCUGGGAAACUGGGUCUAAUACCGGAUAGGAGCGUCCACCGCAUGGUGGGUGUUGGAAAGAUUUAUCGGUUUUGGAUGGACUCGCAGCCUAUCAGCUUGUUGGUGAGGUAAUGGCUCACCAAGGCGACGACGGGUAGCCGGCCUGAGAGGGUGACCGGCCACACUGGGACUGAGACACGGCCCAGACUCCUACGGGAGGCAGCAGUGGGGAAUAUUGCACAAUGGGCGAAAGCCUGAUGCAGCGACGCCGCGUGAGGGAUGACGGCCUUCGGGUUGUAAACCUCUUUCAGUAGGGAAGAAGCGAAAGUGACGGUACCUGCAGAAGAAGCACCGGCUAACUACGUG
rnacentral:rRNA from 1 species